rnacentral:rRNA from 1 species
CCUACGGGAUGCAGCAGUGAGGAAUAUUGGUCAAUGGGCGCGAGCCUGAACCAGCCAAGUAGCGUGAAGGAUGACUGCCCUACGGGUUGUAAACUUCUUUUAUAAAGGAAUAAAGUGAGGCACGUGUGCCUGUUUGUAUGUACGUUAUGAAUAAGGAUCGGCUAACUCCGUGCCAGCAGCCGCGGUAAUACGGAGGAUCCGAGCGUUAUCCGGAUUUAUUGGGUUUAAAGGGAGCGUAGAUGGGUUGUUAAGUCAGUGGUGAAAGUUUGCGGCUAAACCGUACAAUUGCAAUUGAUACUGUCCGCCUUGAGUACAGUUGCGGUCGGCGGAAUUCGUGGUGUCGCGGU